rnacentral:tRNA from 3 species
GCGUCAUUAGCUCAGUUGGUAGAGCACACGACUUUUAAUCGUGUUGCCACAAGUUCAAAUCUUGUAUGACGCACCA